AAAUUAAUGGCAUACAAUGAUACAUUUUCUUCUUCGCAGCUCUGUAGAAUAUCCACCUAAAACAGGAUUAUUUAGGUAGUACUCCACCAAAUAGCAUCUCGGCUGGGUCAAAGUUCGAAGUGACCCAAACUUUUAAUGGAGGAGUUAAAGCUGUGAGUCUGCCAUUGGUGUGACUGUGGUUGCUUUGCAUCAAGUACAGUUUUAUGUAGUUGCAGAAUUCUGUUGUGUUCGACUUUGUGCAAAGCUAAAAUGACCUUACUACCCGAUGAGAAUGAACAUCCCAUAUCCCUUGACAACUUAACUAAUGACUACAGGCCCAUCAAUGAUGCUGUGCACUGCACUGUGUUCCCUCCCUGAGAAGUUUCUGCUGAACGUUGUGUGUCUUGUUUUUUGACACCGCGAACAGAUGGUGCUGGUAUUUUCAUGCAGAGACACAGGAGCUGGACGUUUUCAACCCCAAUGGGUAUUUUCGUUAGACCGACCUGCACUGAAACAUUUGGCUGAGCUGCCUUACGACCUGCACACUUUCGCUUUGGAUUGUCCACCUCUGUGUACAAGCUGUACAUACCAGAGUGUUGCAGGGUUCUGUUGUGUUCGACUUUGUGCAAAGCUGAAAUGACCUUACUACCCAAUGAGAAUGAACAUCCCAUAUCCCUUGACAACUUAACUAAUGACUCUACAGACCCAUUAUUGAUGCUGUGCACUGCACUGUGUGCCCUCCCUGAGAAGUUUCUGCUUAACGUUGUGUGUCUUGUUUUUUGACACCCCGCAACAGACGGUGCUGGUAUGUUCAUGCAGAGACACAGGAGCCGGAAGUUUUGAACCCCAAUGGGCAUUUCGUUAGACCGAUCUGCACUGACACAUUUGUCUGAGCUGCCUUACGACCUGCACACUUUCGCUUGGGAUUGUCCACCUCUGUGUACAAGUUGUACAUACCAGAGUGGUAUGUACAAUGUUACAGCACAAACGCUGCCGAGUGCACACACCACUUCUUUCUUCCUCCGGGAAUUCCCACAUCAGUUGACCAUGGCAUUCUGGAUCCAAAGUGCGGUGGUCGUUGUAUGUACUAUUCAUCAUUUGCUCCAGUUUGCCCAUGUGGAGGACCCUGUAUGUGUCGGCCUCUGAUCUGUUGAUAAAACCCCAAUAGAAGCCCAUAGAUACUAGCACUACCUCAUUUCUUAAUGUUUUCUUCUAUCUAGCAUUUUCAUUGAUAGGUUAUCUCCCUUGGACUGUUUUACACCAGCGCUACCAUGCCAAAUUGACAUUGUUUGCAAGCCAUAUUGUUCAAAUCUGACUCUUUGUGAUUGCCCCUGCGCGUGCUGUAACCUCACUGUGGUGCAGGGGUGUAACAUUCUCUUUGAGAAUGGCUAAUACAGCACAAAUUGAAAUUUUGAGUAAAAGUCAGUAUCUAUCUGUGAUAUUUGUAUU